GAUGGUCACGCGUAUUCUUGGGGAAUUAACACACAUUUUGAGAUGUUAUUGCUUGAGAAUACACGUAGUUGUC
rfam:Papilio machaon contig35690, whole genome shotgun sequence.